rnacentral:rRNA from 1 species
AUUGAACGCUGGCGGCAUGCCUUACACAUGCAAGUCGAACGAGAACGGGAUAUAGCUUGCUAUAUUUGUCAGCUAAGUGGCGCACGGGUGAGUAAUGUAUAGAUAACCUGCCCUCUAGAAAGGAAUAACAGUUGGAAACGACUGCUAAUGCCCUAUAUGCCUUUAAUACAUAAGUAUGCAAGGGAAACGCUUUAGUGCUAGAGGAUGGGUCUGUAUGGUAUCAGCUUGUUGGUGAGGUAAUGGCUCACCAAGGCUAUGACGCCUAACUGGUUUGAGAGGAUGAUCAGUCACACUGGAACUGAGACACGGUCCAGACUCCUACGGGAGGCAGCAGUGGGGAAUAUUGCACAAUGGACGAAAGUCUGAUGCAGCAACGCCGCGUGGAGGAUGCCACAUUUCGGUGCGUAAACUCCUUUUAUAUAGGAAGAUAAUGACGGUACUAUAUGAAUAAGUACCGGCUAACUCCGUGCCAGCCGCCGCCGUAA